CAUUGGCUUUGGGCUCUAGCUUGUUUUCAGGAUAGAAGGGGUACUCCAGUCUAGUCUGAAUAGUCUUGCCUUCUUAUCCUGUUGAUUUUUUUUUUACAGAUCAUAUACAUCCACUUAAGAUCACUGUUCAGUUAAGCUGGGGAACUAAACUGGAAGAGGAUGGAUGCUGUAACGGGGUAUGAAGUUGACGAACAUGGGAUCACUCCUGUGAAUCACAGUCAUUGUCUUGAGUGGGCUGACAUUUUAGAAGAUGACGGAGAAGAUAAAGAGGAUAUGCAUACACUUUAG
rnacentral:lncRNA from 1 species